GACGAACGCUGGCGGCAUGCCUAAUACAUGCAAGUCGAGCGGAGUUGAUGGAAAGCUUGCUUUCCUGAUACUUAGCGGCGGACGGGUGAGUAACACGUAGGCAACCUGCCCUCAAGCUUGGGACAACUACCGGAAACGGUAGCUAAUACCGAAUACUUGUUUUCUUCGCCUGAAGAGAACUGGAAAGACGGAGCAAUCUGUCACUUGGGGAUGGGCCUGCGGCGCAUUAGCUAGUUGGUGAGGUAACGGCUCACCAAGGCGACGAUGCGUAGCCGACCGGAGAGGGUGAUCGGCCACACUGGGACUGAGACACGGCCCAGACUCCUACGGGAGGCAGCAGUAGGGAAUCUUCCGCAAUGGGCGAAAGCCUGACGGAGCAAUGCCGUGUGAGUGAUGAAGGUUUUCGGAUCGUAAAGCUCUGUUGCCAGGGAAGAACGCUUGGGAGAGUAACUGCUCCCAAGGUGACGGUACCUGAGAAGAGAGCCCCGGCUAACUACGUGCCAGCAGCCGCCGUAA
rnacentral:rRNA from 1 species